rnacentral:rRNA from 1 species
AGUGAACGCUGGCGGUAGGCCUAACACAUGCAAGUCGAACGGCAGCACAGUAAGAGCUUGCUCUUACGGGUGGCGAGUGGCGGACGGGUGAGGAAUACAUCGGAAUCUACUUUUUCGUGGGGGAUAACGUAGGGAAACUUACGCUAAUACCGCAUACGACAUACGGGUGAAAGCAGGGGAUCUUCGGACCUUGCGCGAUUGAAUGAGCCGAUGUCGGAUUAGCUAGUUGGCGGGGUAAAGGCCCACCAAGGCGACGAUCCGUAGCUGGUCUGAGAGGAUGAUCAGCCACACUGGAACUGAGACACGGUCCAGACUCCUACAGGAGGCAGCAGUGGGGAAUAUUAGACGAUGGGCGCAAGCCUGAUCCAGCCAUACCGCGUGAGUGAAGAAGGCCUUCGGGUUGUAAAGCCCUUUUGUUGGGAAAGAAAAGCAGCAGGUUAAUACCCCGCUGUUCUGACGGUACCCAAAGAAUAAGCACCGGCUAACUUCGUG